rnacentral:lncRNA from 1 species
AUGAGGCUGUAUCAGAGGUGAUGUCCACUCUGACUCCAAAAGUUACAGGCAUGUGGGCUACAUACACAUCACGGCAGUUGUAACUGUUCCUCCAUACUGAUUGGCAGAGUGGCUUAGCCUUUUGAGGAGCUAUGGGCUUCUUAGGUAAAGAGGUUAGCAAGCAUAGCACAGAAGAAACCCCAGCAUAUUAAUAUAUCACUUCUUGGAAACCAGAAAGUGGAUGCUGUUGCAUGGGAAACAAACCCUUACCAAUUAGCCCUGCAGUUCAGUUCCACACUGGCAGACACUGUAGAAGCUGCUCAUGUGAAUUAAGAACUUUAUGAUUUGGAGCCACUCUUGAAGACAAUUCUGACCUCAAAUUUCUGACAUUCCAUUCCUCAGAAGGGAAAGACUGCUCUGGCACUCCAGUGCCCAUGUCCUGUGGGCAGCAGCUGAACAAUUCCUAGGUGCUAUUCUCCGUCCAAGGCUGUUUUUUUACCAUAAUCUCUUCCCAAGAAAGGAGCAGACAACCUGCGUCUCAGAGUGCCUGCUUUGCCACAGAUUUCCAGGGAACUUACAGCUCUGCUUAAUUCUUCUGUAGGAUAGAGGUUUCCUAUAUCAGCUUUGCCAGCUGUUCAAGACAACCACUUUAAACUUCACCUGAGCCAGGAGAAAGUCACAAGUCUGACAGUAACAGUAUAUGGGCAUGGCGUAUUGGUUGACCUUUGCUGAGUCCCCACCUUUGGCAUACUAGACAGAUUGAAAGAUUGAAGUUGCUAAGAAACUUUUCAUCUUUAUGGAGGUCUUCUGAAGCUCUAGAGACACUGCAAAGAGUUCUCCACAGCAGAGUUUGUGAAAACCUUGGAGGUAUGGAGAGAGGAAACUGAUUUGCAGACCACUGCCAUGUUGGGAAGGAACAGGAGCUCUUCUGCUUCCAUGAACUGAGCCCUGGAAGCUGCUGCUUCUUGCCACGAGGGACAAGGGUGUAUACUGCAUUACUGGUAUUUAUCAAGGCUGAGUAGGCCCACCACAGUGUUCUCUACAAAACUCUGGAACAUUCAGGGCACUGGGAAAAUUAAAGGGCAGACAUGUUUGCCCCUGUAGCCCCAGACUCUGACAGGCCUGACAGCUCUAGGCAUCCCCAAGACACACCCUACAGCCCAUAAACUGCCCUACAUGCUGCCUGAUGUUCACCCACCCCCUCAGAUCCUGGAGGAAGCUACCACUGCAACUGGUUGACUUCUAGGCCCUACAACUGACUGAGGCCUCCAGCAGUCCUGGGAGACUUACCCAGCCAUGGUGCUUCCAAUAGGAUGAUGGAAGAUCAGCACCAGAUCAGUGGGAAGCAGAGAUCUGAAGCUGUCUUGAUUUCCUCCACUAUGUCUAUGUUGUCCUUUGCUGCUUCUUCUGCUUGGCACUGUCCACCUUGCCAUCUGGCUUCCUCAGGGAGCAUUGCCUUUGGGAAUAGGCUAAACAGGUCCUUCAAUGGACCCUGGAGGAAUUUGGAGAACUCUUGAGACCUGAACUUUGGAGUUGGUGCUUUCUAUGGUCCCCAGAUUGACAUGAACCUUCACAGUGUCCCACAGUGUGGGAUAAUCAAGCUUGACUUACAACUGUCCCUGAGAUUUGACUUUCAGUACAAGUGGCCGACAGGAGUCCUAGAGUGUCCAGUUAUUCAUCAAGCAGCGUUCAGUUCUGUGGAAAGGGUGUUGGGAGCAGGCACAUAAAGCUGUGAGGGAAAAUAGAUUCUCUGGCUGUCCCUGUUCCAGGUGGUGUUUAUGUCUGUGGAUUCUGAGCAAGAGAAAUGUCAGGGAAGAACAACAAAGCCUGUAGUCUGCAGGAUUGGUCAGUGACCUGGAAGCUGACUCUGGACUGACCCUCAGUUGGAGAGUCUGCUGGGCCCAGCUUGCCCACUGGGUUGGCCCAAAAGAGCAAAGUAAGAGAACAGUGGACAUUUGGACUCUAGAUAAUCGUUGACUUGGCUAGCAGGACUUGACUAAGUCAAGCAGUGGCGGUGGAGCUACAGAACACCAGGGUCCCAAAUGCUGAAGAAAUUUUCUGA